UUAGGUCGGGAAGUUCGGUCUGGUGUCGCUCCGUUGGGGAGAAACUAUCUCCUCACAAAAAUCUGUGAGGAGAUAGAUAGACCAAUCAAAUUGUCAGGGCGGGCUUUAUACGAUGAUGGACAGAUGAUCAACCGUAACGUAAUCAAUCACGUCACCAAAGAGCUUUUGGGGUGAAUUCGUUUUCAACAAACAUGGCUGCCGUUGGAGAGCUGAAAUGUGGAGAUUCGAGUCUGUUUUAGAAGACAUUGACAGCACAUUCAUUUUGAAAGAGGAACAGAGAAACACAAUCAAGGCAUUUGUCGAUUGAAAAGAUGUUUUUGCCGUCCUUCCUACGGGAUCCGGUAAAAGUUUAAUGUAUGAGCUGGCCCCAUGGUCUACAUUAUGGUCAUACUACGUUGCUCUGAUUGGUUGUAGAUAUAUCCAAUUGAGCGAAGAGGCAUUUUUUUCCUGGUUCGGUUGAAACACGCCCCAUAAUCACAGCCCAUUGGAGCGGUAUCAGACUCAUAUUCUGACUAGAAUUAUGAGUAUGACAUCGUCAGGCUAACUCUGUUCAUUAAAAGGCAAAGUUUAAAAUAUAUCGGUUAAAAGGAAAAAGACCUCAUCCUUAAAUUAAUUAAGCUAAACCUCUCACUGGCCAACAGCUAUCAUGAAAAAUAUCUGGGUCUCUCCCGAGUGCUGUAAUCAGUGAUGAAAAUGUCUACAUCGGCUGGCAGAAUUGACUAAUUAGGAAACAUUUGAAGAGACAGGCAAUACGACAAGAGAGGAUGACGCUGAUGAGGGAGUGCAGGCCGCAGAGCAAAGCAGGAAUGACAAAACUAUAGACCUCACAACUAGCCCAGGGAACCCAAAAGUGCCUGCAUUCACCAUCUCUCUCCGUCCAGUGGUGGUCUUGGAGAACAUGAAAAAAAGGCGUUCUGGACAGAACUCCGGUGACAUCUGGGUGACAUCGCAGCAGAAGGAGUACGAAGAAUAUGAAGAUGAGGCCCAAAACGAAGAACAACAAAGAAACCAGAGAAAAAGGAUAAGACAGGAGAAAGAGUCUCUGCAGCCAACCAGCCUUAUGGUGAAGCGUACAAGGACUGGUGGGAGGCUGAGGGACAGAAGCCCAGGUGACACAGACCAAGGAUGUCCACUCCCUACUGGCGUGCAAUGAGACUGAACGAGGACAGGAGGACCGAAGACUUUGAGACCGUGGGAAUAAUGCUGAAGGCUUUCCAGAUAAUGUUGAGUCAGUCACCGACAAAAACUUUGGCAUCAAAAGAACAAAGAUCUAAAUCUCAAAAAAUGUCAACUUCAAUGCCACUAGCUGUCAAACUACUUUUGGAUAGAAUAUCAUAAGCUGUAUAUAGGUCAAGCCACUUUUUUGUAUUUUAGUUGACUAGCUAAUAGCUAAACCUCUACAUAGUUUGCUCUUUUAGACAAAUGAUAUAUUGCACAGAUUUCCUGGCACCCUAUAGCCUUUUGUCUCAGCAGGCCAAACAGGAAGUGAGUGGCCAUUGUCCUUCCUGGUCCUGAGGGCGAUGAGUAAAAUAAUACCAGACAUGACCACUUCCGCCUCACGUUUUUCUCUUAAAGUCUCUGGAUCUGCUUUCUGUCGCUUUUCUGUGGCAAGGUCCUUCUAAAAGACCUUCUAAAAGACAGUCAGUCCCUUUCGUUUCAUUUCACAGCAUUUCCUUUCCAUUUUUGCCAUUUUUCUGUUUGUCUUUUGUCCCCCUUCAUUCUACAUGGGUUCAUUAUUCUGCGCAGCGGACAGUCAAAGUUUCAAAUAAAAGUUUC
ensembl:lncRNA